rnacentral:misc_RNA from 1 species
AAUGGACAAGUAUGAACAAAAUCAAGAAAAGAGUAAUGAAGUAAAGAAAAGAUUGUGACUUUAAUGUAGCCAUGCAAUAAUAAUUUGAUUGAAAAAAUAAUAACACCCCCCCAAGAGUCCACAAGAGAUCAAUAUCCAUCAACUACUUAAACACCCACCAAAAUAGUAAUGCCUUAAGAAAAAAACAGGCCAAAGAGAGAAGAGAGAGAAGUUUGAGGUUAGAGGUGAAAAAGCUUAGUAGAGAAGUUUAUUUAUUG